AAAAAAAUAAAUAAAUAAAUAAAUCAGUACAAAGCCCAACUAAAUAAUUAUAAUAAAUAAAGACCAUAUAAAAAAAGCGAUUUGUGAUGUAUGUCUAUCCACGUGUAGCCUUCACCAGCUUUCGAAGACAUGCGUCCUUUAGUCUUGAAGCGGCAAUCUUGGCCAUCUCCAACUUUGCCGCCGGGAACUGCCGGGAUGACUCCAAAGUUGCCUCUCUAUCUUUGUCUUCUCUUAGCUUAGAGGUUUUGUACUGAUCAAUGCUCUUUCCACUAAUGAUCGAACUAACUCGCUGAACUCAUCAAACCACCGGAAACAAUCUGAUUCUGGAAAAGCUCUUGUUCAACCUGAGAUUGAUUUUUGCUGGACCACCUGAACGCCGACUUUAUACUAAUCAUACCCCAAAGUGACAGUUACUUCUAAUCCUCCAUACCAGUUCCAAUCAGAAAAACUUUACUUCAAUUUACUAUUGAUUAGAAGUAAAGAUUGAUACUCCUAGGAAGGUCUAUGAUACCAAUGACUUGAGAGUUCGAACACCAAUAAGCCAUAAUUGAGCACAUGUGGAAGAUCUUGAUACAACUUCGAUUUCAAAUUAAAAGCUUUAUUGCUCAUAACAAACCCGAGAAAAGAUAAAAACUUUAAAAUUGCCCAGAUUUGAAUGAGAAAAUAUAAAAAAACUCACUAACGCGAGGAAGAGAUCGCUAAGCAAAGAAGAAAUCCGACAUGCGGAAACAAAAAUCGAUCCAGAGGAUUGAAAAUUUACAAUACAAAACAGAAUCGAAGCCUCCCUUGUG
rnacentral:lncRNA from 1 species